rnacentral:lncRNA from 1 species
AGACCAGCCACCUGGACUUGGGCUCCGAUGACGCUGCCACUGCCGCAGGAAGAGCUCAGGAAUAUCUGCCAGAUUCCAGAAUGGACACUGUCCUCCAGAGCCCACAGUGUCCGGGGUCCUGGCCUGCCCCUGAGGCUGAGUGGCCAGCAGAGGCAGCCCAUCCGGCAUCUCUCAAGGGCCUGAGAGCAGCAGGAACCCCUUCUUGUCCUCGACUUGGUGGUGAUCAAGGGGGCUCGUGCUGCUCUGGGCAGGAGGAGGCAAAGCUGUCCUUCAGCGAGUGCUCCGUCCAUGUGGAGAAGCCACAGGGCAGCCAGGGAAUCACCUGGAACCAGGCUCCACAUGUGGGGAGAGAAGGCUGUCUCUGUCAGCAGACCCAGGAACCUUGUGCUCUUGAGGCAGGCAGCGGAACCACUGAGCUAAAUCCCUGGCCCCAUGACUCUGGGGUAACACACUUCACCUGCUCUUCCUCCUGCUGGAGCACGGGGCUGCUCCUGCAUGUUGGGUCCUGGAACAGGCGCCCCUUGGUGCUCAAAUAGCCCUCCUUGCCUGGACCCCACAGGCGCCCUCCUUAUGGUCCCUGUGCCCUGGUGCCCCCCUGUUCUGGAAGCUGUGAACUCCUGGGAGCCUACCUCCGCCCUGCCACCUGGCCCAAGCCCUGGGCAGUGUCCAGAAUGUGCCUGGAGCGGAGCUUUGGUUGAUGGACCAAGCUGGACUUCACAGACACUUGAAAAGUGAAGCUAUUUCUGGCCCAGGAAGUGUCCCUGGGGAAGCAUCAGAGGGAAUGGAAGACCAUAAGCCCCAAACAGUAAGAAGACAAGGAAGCUGAAGAGAGAAGCCCCUGGCCUGCCGUCCCUCACGGGGCGCUCGCCACCCACCCCGCCAUGCGUGGUGCUCGGUCUGCAGCAAGUCCACGUGGCCAGUGCAGGACUGCACGGGCCUUAAUUUCCAGGAGAGCAGCUGGCAGUUCUGGCUGCUGCCUGCAUGGGGCAGGACCCACCUGCAGCAGGGGCCUGUGAGGAAGCUGUCACAGGGGUCCAGGCACG